ensembl:lncRNA
CAGCACCGGGUUAGGAAAUGCAAGUGUCCUUCUAGCAGUUUAGCUGCAGGUCAAGGGGACUGCCUUAGCAGGAAAGGCCCAUUUUAAUCCACAGUAGUCAAGCUUGCUUCUGCUUAGCUUUAGAGACUGCUGUGCCAUUCUUAAACUGUGUGUGGAAAAAAUAUUUUUCAGAAUGGCAAGCUUCAUCUUUGCAUUCUCCUUCCUGUUGCUGCAGAUUUUCCUUGGUGAGAAUUUUGUUUCCAACGAUCUAUGCUUUUCUUCAUGUGUAAAAGAAAGAACGAAGAGUUUAUGCUUUUGUUUUCAACUGUUUGGGUUUUUUUUCAGCUGAAAUGUAGCAUUCAAAGGGGUAUAUGUGACUCUAAGAACACAUAGAAGACACUUCUUCAUCUGUCCUGACCAUACUGGCUUUUAAUCCCUUACGACUUGUUCCAGCUACAUUCAUGCUGAGUAGGACCUCAUUCAGCAAACAGCCUCUCAGUAAUCAAUAUGCCUGCGGGGGAGGAAAUACAGUGUGCCAGGUAAGGGAACCUUUGCUUCCUGCCCCAGGUCACUCGAUUCUCUCAGCUCCAUCAAAAGUUCUGUUUAGUCCAGUAAUGAGAAGCUGAUUGCACUGAGACAUCUGUGAGGUACACAAUUGUGCUGUCUGCAGCACAUUGAAGAAUGGUCCUUUGUUUGCUUGGGACACCAAACCCAUUGCAAAAAGCAAUAUUUGCAGCUAAUCACCAUAGUGAUUUGAAUUUUCAUUUAGCCUUUGUGCUAAUAGAGGCAGCUGGAAAAAGAAAAAAAAAUCAGCACAAAUAAACACAACUAUUAAGUACUCUCAAUUCUCAAAACCAGGAGCUGCUGGAAGUAAUGCUGAUGCCUCCAACUCAAGAAAUCUUUUAAAUGUGAAAUGAUAUAUAUGAGGCCAGGAGAGGAACGCAUUUUAUCUUGUUUGCUUAGACUCCAGAAUAGAUCUCUGAGUCUCUGGACAUAAUGAUUGCUUAGGCAAGUCAAACACUGUAUAUCACCUGCUGAGCAUCUGAUUCAUUGACUCAGUGGAUUGAAGCCAAUUUUGCCAGCUGGAAUCUGUAAUAUUGACUUCUAUGGUGUGAUACUGAUCUAUAUUACCCAGAGGAGUUGGCUGAGAGACAAAGAGAGGUUACAUCUCCUUUGGGUGACAACUUUCCUGAAGGCCAAGGUGGACAGAAUCUGUCUCACAAAGCCUGGUUGUCUUAGAAGUGGUGCGUAUGGCUCACUACUAUGACAUUUCGUUUUUUCCUGGACUUUCAAGCAGGGUAGCAAUCAGGAACAACAGCCUCUUUCUCUGCCUCUAUCCCUCUGUUUUGAGCUUAUGCAUAUUGCAGUUCUGGUAUGGUUUCUCUGCACGUACCGACUACUACUGUGCAGACCCUUGUGCUGAUCUGAUAGAAGGGAGGAGAUGACCUAGCUCCAGCUUUCCCCUCUGCCUUGCCAAAGAGGAGACAGAUGUCACAAACCACCCUUCUUGCUCUUCAGAGACCCAAGCAAAGCAGUACAACUCAUAGCCAUGAAGGGGCAGCUGGGGACAGGCAAAGCAAGGCAAGGCCUAGCGCUGUCACACAGUGCCAGAUUGCUCAUGCAGAACACCAUUUCACUUACUGGGUUUUCCAGGGCAGCAUCAGAGUUUAUUUGGUGUUUUGUGGAAGAGAUGCUCGCUAGACCUCAGGGUCAUGCACUACUUUGCAAGCUGGCUAUCCAGAAUUGCUUGCUCUGGAAAAUCCUGGAUGUGUCUCAUAACUGUGUCAGAGGAACAAAGGACAACGCCAUCGACCUGGAGCACAUCACUAAACAGGAGCUGAAUUACUGCUUUCUGUUAGACACCGAAUGAUUGUCACUGGGACUACAUCCAGCUACCUGUGAGGGAUCUCCAGGAAGCCUGACACAAGAACUUUUGCAUUAGUGAAAAUGAAGUGCUCUGUUGAAGGCAUUACUUUCAGGAGACUGAAGGGAAAGGAGGGAUUCAAUGUCAUUUCACUUCCUGAAGCACAGUCUGGAGAGCGCACCUGAAGAACUGCAAGUGUUAGAUGCUCCCACAGAGCAAAGGCAUACGCCACUGGAAAAGCCCUCCUCGUGCUGACAAGCAGAUAAAAAUUUUCUAGAUGCCUCAGUUCUGGCCUGUGGAAUAAGACAACAGGGAAGGAUACAAGAAAGAAUGAAGCAGCAGCACAGGUACCACAAUCACUGAAUUAUUGUUCUAGCAAAUUUCUGCAUGAGAAACUGCCAUACUUCUAGGCUGCUCUGACUGCUCUCCCAGAAGUCACAAACUUUGUACAACUGCACAGAGAAGAACUGAAAAGAUAACAAGAAUUGAGUAAUUCUCUGUGUUUCUGAAUUAAACGCUUUUUAACCCCUCCAGCAGCAAGAAAACUCACGAUUGUAUUCUCUGUCUUCUUCCUUCUUGACUGUUAACAGAUCACAAGGCACUACAAAUUAUUACAACUUUCUUCCUCACCUGUCAUAGAAUCACUAUGGUUAGAAAAGACCUCUAAGAUCGUCCAGUCCAACCACCAACCCAUCCCCACCAUGCUCCUCAAUGCUGCAUCCGCACGGUUCUUGAACACCCCCAAGGACGGUGACUCCACCACCCCCCUGGGCAGCCUGUGCCACUGCAUCACCACUCUGCCUGAGAAGUUUUUCCUAAUACUCAACCUGAACCUCCCCCUUUCAUAGCUGGACCAGAAAUUUUCCAGCAGACAGCUCACACUGAAAGUUAAAUACACAAGAAUAUCCAAAUUAACAGAGACACUUGCAAUAAAGAUCUUAUUAAGAUGUCAACAUUGUUUACGGAUUACGGAACAACUUACAGAACCUCAAGAACUUUGUACUCCCUCUUUCUGAUCAGUGCUUGGUUGUUGCUUGGGGGAUGCAGGGAAUACACGUUUAAGACCUGCAAACUUAGAGACAACUGUUAGUGCCUAAAGAACUGAAGUCACUGAUGGCUAGACCACAGCAAGAAGGAAGCAGUGACGUGAACUGAGAGGAAUUCAGGACUCACAGACAGAUGGAGCUGUUUCCCACCUGUAGGGCUAAAUCUGGCAUAGACGACAGCCCGCAUUGAGCUGGCACUGAGCUGAGCUCCUGCCUGGUUGUGGGAAUACCCUGCUUUCAGUCUUGGGUGAAGCUGAUCUGUGAGUCCAGUCCUGGAAGUUAAGAGGUCUCUUACGCCCCACAGUGUGAAAGAAUUGGUGGGUACAUGGGUAGGAGUGGCUUCCCUGGGUAGUCAAAGCAGCCAGCUCAAAAAAACUGAGCAAUCAUGCCGAUAAACAAAAUAGAUCACUGGUUAAAAUAAAUAAUAGAAAAAAAAAAAGAAGCAGGAAUAAAUGGAGAAGGUUACUGCUAGUGUUCCUCUAAAGCAGAUUUGGGGCAACCUGUUGAGAUAAUUUACUGAUAAGGUGUCAUGCAUAACAAGGUAACGGUUUGUCUACAUUCCCACAUUACUCAAGGUUUUAAAGUGGAAGUUCACUGUGAAUAGCUGCAGAAAGAUCUGCCAGAAACUGCCAGAUAAAAUGGAAGAUAAAGUUCAAGGUCAAUAAAUGCAAAACAAAUCAUAGAUAAAAAUGGCAGUAAUUGUGCACGCUCAGUGGUACACUAAAUUAGAUAAACUUUCCUAAGAAAGAGGCAUGUCAGAGUUGAUCUAAAAAGUAAACAAAUUAGAGCUAAAAACAAAACAGAACAGGAGAUAUUGCUGUGCCACUGCAAAAAUGUAACAUGCCAGUGCACCCUGAAUACCAGCUACUGUCCUGGUCCUGGUCUCACAAAGGAUCCAAGAGUGACUGGAAAGGGUUCAGAAGUAGACAAUGAGAUCAACUGAAGGACACAGCUGCUUUCUGUCCAGGAGAAGUUACAGAUGGGGCUUCCGUGCCAUGGUAAAUGAAUGACAGAAGGGGUUACAUGGAAAAAGAUCUCACAUGACACAGAGUAGAGGAAUAGACUGGUUACGACUUGCUGACCCUCAGAAUACAGGAAUCAGAAGCUAUUGUGUUACAUGCUCAACGUGAGAACUGGAAACAACAGACCAAGAAUACAUGCUGUAUACACUGAGGCACUCUGUGCUGUGUAUACCAAAAAUUUGUACGGAUGCAACAUGCAGUUGUACAACUCAUACAGGACAAAAGAUCAAGGUCUAGGAUAGGAAAGAAAGAUGCUUUGACCAGCUUGGAGAGCCUCCAAGAUGAGGCUUCACUGGAAGCUGCAAAGAUAUCGUUGGACACUUGUCCUGCCUUUAUCCUCUUCCUUGCCUGGGUGCUGACUGCUCAUGUGAGAGUGAGGGUGGUAAGUCCAACCUCUGGGGUGUUACCAGGUGCAUUUGUGGUUAAAGCACAGCCAGCUACAAAUGACGGCAGAAAGCCAUCCAGUGUGGUGCCAAACAGCAUUUAGGGUGAAAAUGGAGAUUAAGAAGCCAGAUGGAAAAGAAGACAGCAAGUUUAAAAGGAUGGGAGCAGAGGGACACCCCAUUUUGAUACACAGUUUGAGACUGCAGCCAAAUCACAAGUGUGGCAGAGAUGGAAUGCUCAUCCAGACAUGAAAACAAAUGCCUACGUGGGUUCCCAGCUGCGUAUGAACAGAAGACAGAGCUGGGAGAAAGCUGCUUGGAGGAGAAGGAAAAUGGGAGCACACAGUCUGCACUUCUGCUCUCCUAAGGAAAUUAUUCAGUGAAACAUUAUUGAAACUGUCAGAAAUGUACUUGAAGUAGGGACUAGCUUCUUAAUUCAGAUCAGAAUGGUGGUAGUGAAGCCAGAGAAUCAGGUAUUUGACAGACCUUCACUGAAGUCAAUAUCCUUUAGCGCUGACAUCCCUAAACUGCCUACUGUAAAAAACAUCAGUAUACCUGUAUUGGAUUUUACCUAUUGUGCUCGGUCUACCUGGGUUUAUUCUCUUUCACCAAAAUAAAAAGCAAAUCCAAACCAAAACCAACAACAAUUGAACAACCACACAAAAAACAGCCUACCCUGAAAAGUGUCUCCAAAUAGGCUCAGAAGAAAUCUAAGCUUUGUUGCUCUAGUUAUUUAUGAUGCUGACAGGAAUUACAUUACUGAAG